rnacentral:rRNA from 1 species
AUUGAACGCUGGCGGCAGGCCUAACACAUGCAAGUCGAGCGGAGCGGCUGACGGGUGAGUAAUGACUAUGAAUCUGCCUGGUAGUGGGGGAUAACGUCCGGCUACGGGCGCUAAUACCGCCUACUAUCCGACGAGCCUAGGUCGGAUUGGCUAGUUGGUGGGGUAAAGGCCUACGAAGGCGACGAUCCGUAACUGGGCUGAGAGGAUGAUCAGUCACACUGGAACUGAGACACGGUCCAGACUCCUACGGGAGGCAGCAGUGGGGAAUAUUGGACAAUGGGCGAAAGCCUGAUCCAGCCAUGCCGCGUGUGUGAAGAAGGUCUUCGGAUUGUAAAGCACUUUAAGUUGGGAGGCGUUACCAACAGAAUAAGCACCGGCUAACUUCGUGCCAGCAGCCGCGGUAAUUC